UCACAAUGUAAGUCUAUGGGAAAAAGUCUUUUUGGGCCCCAUGGCAUCAUGUGAUGGACCCAGAAGUUGUAAUUUCACUGUUCGGCCGCUAUGAAAAUUGGCUUCAAAGCUUGGUCCGUUUUCUGGGGGCCUGUUUGUAACAUGGGACAGUUGGAACACCUUGAAUUCCUUCAAUCAGGAACAAGCUACAGUGAUGACACUCACUCUGCCCGGUGUAUUUUUUGGAUACUGUCUUGAGAUCAAAUGUUUAGUAUCAUUAUAAUCAGUGUUUCUGUAAGCUGAAAAUAGAAAUGACUAACGUGUCAAACUAGCAGUCAGGCUUGUUGACAUAGUGUGAAACAUGACUGAUGAUACUGGGAUGGUUGUAAUGCCUUAUUACAACUGUCUCUGUGCCCCAGACACACCAAGGACUCAUCUGAUGAAGAUAAAUUCUUAACUGUGUUCCUGGAGAGCUGCUCCAGGUCAAGGGAGGUCUGGCUGCAGUGUUGGUGCCGUAGACGUCACAGAUAGAGGUGACCUUUACAUUUGCCACAACUGUGACUCAGAGUGAUUCCAUCUACCACAUUAUAAUUCGAGGCCUGCUCGCUUUUUUGUCAUGUGGCCCACCAGAAAAGGUAAAGGGAAAGCUGCGAUCACAUGACGGAUGCGCUGAUGGGAGAAGGAAGCGGUCCUUUAAGGAGCCAGGUUAGGGCGGUGGAUGGGUCGCAAAACACAAGACUUUCCGGCAAGACCAUCCUCAGGAGACUGGUUAUGAGUCUAUGAGUACUGAGUUACUUUAAGGGAUAUCGUCACCAUGUUUCUUUUCCCAGACCCACUGAGCUCCUACCGACUGAGCUAGCAAAGCUAUAAAUGACCGAAAAAUGGGUCAGAUACUGGCUGCAUUAAAGGAUGACAUUUAAAGAAUAUCUGUGAUCCAGAGCCUGGGUCAGGAUUGCCUCCACAUGGCUCUCAACAUGGAGGUUGCUGAGCUGGUGGCUUGCGGCUAACAGUGCUAACAGCACAAAGAGUGCUAACAACAGCAAAUAUGCUAACAGAGCCAACAGUAUUAAUGAGGGGCAACUGGACCAACUACCACAACAAAGAACAGUAACUUUACAGGACUAAUACUGAUGUCCAUAGCUUUAUUUUAAGUACGUAACUUUACAUUAAGUACGUAACGUCAUUCGCGGGAUGCUAAUUUGUAGGAAAUCAUACAAACUGUUAUGGGUGCAUUUUUGUAGUAUAUCAUAAGAACUGUUGCGUGAGGAUACUUUGCAUUAUUUAAAAGAAAAUAACAGUCACAAUAACCGGACUGAUUAAUAAUAUUUUUCAUUUUGAUUAUUUGAUUGAUUCAUUUUGUAUAUUUUAGACAUGUCAUAACUGUCCCUGUCCACUGGGAAGGUUGUAAACAUGGCUGAACCAUAUUUAAAUCAAUUUUGCAACCUGCAUGUAUUUCAUAAAACCACUUAAAUACAUUGUUUCAGUAAGUGACGCAUCAAAGUUUAUUUUAUAUUAAAUUAGCUAUUGCAGUGUAAAUGUUUUUUUAUUUAUUGGGUAAAUCGUGUGACAGCUGUCCAUGGUCUCCCCUACUUGUUUAGGUGAAUGAUGUCUUUCUCAGCCUGGUGUGUCAUCAUCACUGUGGGGUUUUUGUCUCAGACAACUUUCCCACAUUCUGGCAGCCACACUGUCACAGUCUGGUUUUGUUUAUGCCCCUUUAAGCCUAAUCUUCACAUGAUUAUAGAGUGUCUGUGUUUUUGUCCUACCUCAAGGAGACAGAGGCAUCAUUGUUAGAGGAACAUUUGUCUGCAGGUAGCCUCAACAGUCUGAGUGGCAGCAGUUAACCGUGGCACCACAUAAUAAAGUCUAGUAGUCAUAGUAAAGUCAGCAAAAAUAGGUUUUCACAUACUUAUUUACAUGUUAUUUAUUUAUAUUCCCUUCUUUUAUUUAAAUAUUAAUCUGCCAAUAAAAAAACGCAAGCCAUGAUCCCGCCCUAAUUGUCCCCGUCUCUCAAUUUGCACCGGGUAAUUCAUCCCUAAGUGAUGUUUACCCAUGUUGAGUCUAUUCCAGCUAUCAUAAUGAAAGGCUUUAAUAUACACCAACAAGCACCCAUUGUGUCCUUCAGCCCUCACAACCAACCUAUUGUGAUUCCUGAGACCUGUAUUUAUGCUGUUGUAUAAACUGCAAAGAGAGAUGUUGAUGUGAGUUGUUUUCCACAGGAGUCUCAUGGGGAUGUUUUUUUGAGAAACACUUUGAGCAUCACAAAUGAAAUUUCAUUCACAUCUACAAAACCUACAAACUAUCUGGGUGCAAAGAUGCCGCAAGAGGUUAUUGAGAAUAUGUAAAGUUUAGAAGUAGCCUAGCUUGUGUGAACUGGUGAACUGACCCUUUAAAUAGCCCAGGAGGAGUGAGACUGUGUAUUUGAGGGCAGAAAGCUAAUUUCUGUGAAGCAUGAUGUCCUACAACACAAAAAUACCCAAAAAAAAUGUGUAUAAAAAUAAAAUAAAUGUUCAAAAGCAUUUUAUUAUUUGUAUUAAUGGUCUUCUAAACAAUUCCUGUCAGUAUGUAAUGAUGGUUUAUCCAACUACAGUAAGUUAUGGUAAAAUAAAAUGUAUGUUAACUAAUACUACCUGUUGCCACAUGGGCACAAUAAUGACAAUGUGGUCACAUUUCCUAAUUUUUUUCAGGACCUGAGCAGUAGCGUUCUGAAUAAGCUGAAGUUGCCAAACAGCUUGUUUUGAAAGUCCCACAGACAGAGCAUUGCAGUAAUCUAAUCUACUGGAAAUAAAGGCAUGGGUGAGCCUU